rnacentral:rRNA from 1 species
AUUGAACGCUGGCGGCAUGCCUUACACAUGCAAGUCGAACGGUAACAGGUCUUCGGAUGCUGACGAGUGGCGAACGGGUGCGUAAUACAUCGGAACGUGCCCAGACGUGGGGGAUAACGAGGCGAAAGCUUUGCUAAUACCGCAUACGAUCUAAGGAUGAAAGCAGGGGACCGCAAGGCCUUGCGCGUUUGGAGCGGCCGAUGGCAGAUUAGGUAGUUGGUGGGAUAAAAGCUUACCAAGCCGACGAUCUGUAGCUGGUCUGAGAGGACGACCAGCCACACUGGAACUGAGACACGGCCCAGACUCCUACGGGAGGCAGCAGUGGGGAAUUUUGGACAAUGGGCGAAAGCCUGAUCCAGCAAUGCCGCGUGCAGGAUGAAGGCCUUCGGGUUGUAAACUGCUUUUGUACGGAACGAAAAGGCUCUGGCUAAUACCUGGGGCACAUGACGGUACCGUAAGAAUAAGCACCGGCUAACUACGUG